GGUCAAGAAGAAAAGGGCAUACGGUGGAUGCCUUGGCGCUAUGGGCCGAAGAAGGGCGCGGUAAGCUGCGAAAAGCUACGGGGAGCUGCAAGCAAGCCUUGAUCCGUAGAUACCCGAAUGGGGCAACCCGGCGGAGCAAACCUCCGUCACCCUAUGCUGAACACAUAGGCAUAGAGGAGGGCACCCGGGGAACUGAAACAUCUAAGUACCCGGAGGAAGAGAAAGAAACAUCGAACCCCUCAGUAGCGGCGAGCGAACAGGGGCGAGCCUAAACCAGAUUUCUUCGGAAAUCUGGGGUUGCGGGACCCUCGUGACGUGAAGACUAGACCUAGCCGAAGACACCUGGAAAGGUGCUGCGCAGAAGGUAACACACCUGUAGGCGAAAGGUCGAAAUUUGCAGAGGGGAUCCCAAGUACCGCAGGACACGUGAAACCCUGUGGGAAUCCGGGGGGACCACCCCCCAAGGCUAAAUACCCAUAGCGACCGAUAGUGAACAAGUACCGUGAGGGAAAGGUGAAAAGCACCCCGGGAGGGGAGUGAAAAAGAACCUGAAACCGUAUGCUUACAAGCUGUCAGAGCACGGUUAAAGUGUGAUGGCGUACUUUUUGUAGAACGGACCGGCGAGUUACAUCUAACGUGCAGGUUAAGUUGUGAAAGACGGAGCCAUAGCGAAAGCGAGUCUUAAUAGGGCGCAAUGUACGUUGGAGUAGACCCGAAACCUGGUGAUCUACCCAUGUCCAGAGUGAAGCUUUAGUAAAAUAAAGUGGAGGCUCGAACCGACCUUCGUUGAAAAGGAGGCGGAUGAGGUGUGGGUAGGGGUGAAAUGCCAAUCGAACCAGGAGAUAGCUGGUUCUCCCCGAAAUAGCUUUAGGGCUAGCCUCGGUUUGAGGUAUACGGAGGUAGAGCACUGAAUGGGCUAGGGGCCUUCACGGGUUACCGAACCCAAUCAAACUCCGAAUGCCGUAAUACCAUGACCGGGAGUCAGACUGCGGGUGCUAAGAUUCGUAGUCAAGAGGGAAACAGCCCAGACCAACAGCUAAGGUCCCCAAGAUAUACUAAGUGGAAAAGGAUGUGGGGUUGCAGAGACAACCAGGAUGUUGGCUUAGAAGCAGCCACCAUUUAAAGAGUGCGUAAUAGCUCACUGGUCAAGUGGCCCUGCGCCGAAAAUGAAACGGGGCUAAGUAUAUCACCGAAGCUUUGGAUUCUCGAGGUUCGAUGUUCGAGAUUCGAUGUUCGAAAGGAGAACUCACAUGAUAAAAGAUUAUCAUGACCUAGAAGUGUAUAAAAGAGGAUAUAAACUGGCUCUUGAAAUACACAAAUCAACAAAGAGUUUUCCACAGCAUGAGAUGUAUGAGAUAGGGAGCCAAUUAAGACGUGCAGCUGUAUCAAUACCUCUGAAUAUUGCUGAGGGAUAUGGCAGAAAGAACUAUGUAGACGAUUUUAAAAGGUUCUUAAUAAAUGCACUUGGUUCUUGUAAUGAAGUUGCAGUGCUACAAACAUGGAAAUAAUCGAAUUUCGAACUUCGAAUAUCGAACUUCGAGAAUGGUAGGGGAGCGUUCCUAGUUCGUAGAAGUCGUACCGAAAGGAGCGGUGGAGGACUAGGAAGUGAGAAUGCCGGUAUGAGUAAGCGAAAAGGCAGGUGAGAAUCCUGCCCGCCGAAAACCUAAGGUUUUCUGGGGAAGGUUCGUCCGCCCAGAGUAAGUCGGGACCUAAGCCGAGGCCGCAAGGCGUAGGCGAUGGACAAUCGGUUGAGAAUCCGAUACCACCAAUAACCGUUUGAGGAUGGAGUGACGCAGGAGGGUAGGUUAAGCCAGCGGCUGGAAAAGCUGGUCCAAGCCGGUAGGGAGUGUGGUAGGCAAAUCCGCCACACAUAAUCCUGAGAGGUGACGGGGAGCGAAAAAUAGUAGCGAAGUAACUGAUCCCAAACUGCCAAGAAAAGCUUCUAACGAGGUAAAUUGGUGCCCGUACCGUAAACCGACACAGGUAGGUGGGGUGAAAAUCCUAAGGCGCGCGAGAGAACCCUCGUUAAGGAACUCGGCAAAAUGACCCCGUAACUUCGGGAGAAGGGGUGCCUCGAUAUCGUGAAAGAAAAGCUUCUGGAGCGAGAAGAGGCCGCAGAGAAAAGGCCCAAGCGACUGUUUACCAAAAACACAGGUCCCUGCUAAAGCGAAAGCUGACGUAUAGGGGCUGACGCCUGCCCGGUGCUGGAAGGUUAAGGGGAAAUGUUAGCGCAAGCGAAGCAUAGAACCGAAGCCCCAGUAAACGGCGGCCGUAACUAUAACGGUCCUAAGGUAGCGAAAUUCCUUGUCAGGUAAGUUCUGACCCGCACGAAAGGCGUAACGAUUUGGGCACUGUCUCAACGAGGGGCUCGGUGAAAUUGUAAUGACGGUGAAGAUGCCGUCUACCUGCGACAGGACAGAAAGACCCCGUGGAGCUUUACUGUAGCUUGACAUUGGGUUUUGGUAUUUGAUGUACAGGAUAGGUGGGAGACUUGGAAGUCGGGACGCCAGUUUCGAUGGAGUCGCCGUUGGGAUACCACCCUUUAGAUAUUGAAAUUCUAACUUUAUGCCUUGAAGCAGGUAUAAGGACAGUGUCAGGUGGGCAGUUUGACUGGGGCGGUCGCCUCCCAAAAGGUAACGGAGGCGCCCAAAGGUUCCCUCAGCGCGGACGGAAAUCGCGCGUUAGAGUGCAAAGGCAAAAGGGAGCUUGACAGCGAGACCAACAAGUCGAGCUGGUACGAAAGUAGGGCUUAGUGAUCCGGCGGUUCUGAGUGGAAGGGCCGUCGCUCAACGGAUAAAAGCUACCCCGGGGAUAACAGGCUUAUCUCCCCCAAGAGUCCACAUCGACGGGGAGGUUUGGCACCUCGAUGUCGGCUCAUCGCAUCCUGGGGCUGAAGUAGGUCCCAAGGGUUGGGCUGUUCGCCCAUUAAAGCGGUACGUGAGCUGGGUUCAGAACGUCGUGAGACAGUUCGGUCCCUAUCCGUCGCAGGCGCAGGAAACUUGAGAAGAGCUGUCCCUAGUACGAGAGGACCGGGAUGGACGGAUCACUGGAGUACCAGCUAUCGUGCCAACGGUAGCGCUGGGUAACUAUAUCCGGACGGGAUAAGUGCUGAAAGCAUCUAAGCACGAAGCCCCCUUCAAGAUGAGGUUUCCCACUACGCAAGUAGGUAAGAUCCCAUGCAGACUACGUGGUAGAUAGGCCGGGUGUGUAAGCACAGUAAUGUGUUGAGCUGACCGGUACUAAUAGAUCGAGGUCUUGACCAA
rnacentral:rRNA from 1 species